UCUGUUUCUCUUACAUAAAUGGGGGCCAACAGGAUCUUCAAUACUGGGUUGAACUUUUGCUUACUAAGUUUCAGCUUUGUGUGAAAUGUACCCCUCAGAAUAUAAGGCUUUAUAAUGAAAAAGCUAGCAAGCCUUCAACUGUUCUUUGCCCAGUAGGAAAAUCAGUAAACUGAAAAGCAUGGUGCUGGCUAGUCUACUUCAUUGCUGAAUUUGUACUUAAGAGUAAUUAUCUUUACACAGUUGAAUAAGGCAUGGUUUUGCCUGAGUAGCAUGAACAACAUUCAAUACAGCUACUAUGGCAGCCUACAACAGGAGAAAAACCAUCUCCGUGGCAGGAAAAUUGCUUACAAUGUGAGAAGGUAGAUAACUAUUGUGAUAAACUAUUGUUUUCCCUGACCAACUCAGGGACACGUAUUGUUCCAUUGUAAAAGAAAGGGGCAGUUCAGGCCAAGAGUGAGCUUUCAUUUCAUAGAGACAAGGCAGCACUUCAGUAGGUUCUUGGCAAUCAGGAUCCCAUGUUUAAGUCUAGGUAAUACCUUUCAAUUAGAAAGACACAAAUGACAUCCAUAACUCACACCUAUUCCUAAUUAAGAUUCAGCAUGGUUUUAUAAGAAAUAAAAGUUAAACUUAGUUUUCCAAAAGACAGCAGAUUUUUGCUUAAGUUACGUCACACACUAGAACUGGUUCAGGCUUAUGUUCAUUAUAACUACAGUAACCAUUGUAGUUAUGGCACAUUCAUUAAAAGCUAGAUUGCAACAUCUGUACACAAGGGGCAUUUCUGAACGUUCAGCUUUGCUAUACAUUAAGUAAUUUAUCUACUCCACUGCUUAACCUAAUGUUAGAUUAAUGGGUUUUGCAAUGUUGGAAAUACUGAAUAAUUGUGUAUAUUAAAUAUUCACCACCUCUUUUAAAUGCUUCAGCAUUUUUAUCUUUUACUCUCCUAGGACAGAACUAUCAAUAGAGAAUGUAUGUGCUAAUGCACAGUUACCAACAUUAAUGUGGGUCAAGGCCAAAUGGCACCUUUGGGAAGGCUAAUUGCCACAAACUCUACAAUUAGAAGCAAAAAUUCUGAGACAACAAGCCCCCUUGGUGCUUGGGUGAUAUCAGGGUGUUUCCAAUAAUUAGACAGUCAUGUUCUUGAAGAUAUAUAGCAAGCCUGGCAGUGUGUGAGAGCAUCACAAUAAACAGCUUAAUAGUCUAAUAAGCUUUUAAUAUUAAAAUUCUCCAUUAAAAAAGUGUUUCAAAUUAUUUAAAAAACAAAUAGGCCAGUCAAUAAGAACAGUGUCAUUAUGUUGUAUA